CGGGAUGUAGCGCAGCCCGGUAGCGUACUUGCAUGGGGUGCAAGUGGUCGCUGGUUCGAAUCCAGUCAUCCCGA
rnacentral:tRNA from 1 species